GGUCCCAUCAGCGCCGCCCGCCUGGCACCUCCUCCGGUGUGCGGGGCUCACCUGAGCCAUGGGAGCACAUCUGAGCUACCGUAGGUCAGCGCGGGAGGAGGAGGUCACAGGCAACAGGACGCCGAGCACCGCAGCUUAGAAAGUGAGACAUAUUUCUCCAUGGCAGGAACUUUGUUGUCCAGCUUCAAUGCUCCCAUUUGGAUUCAAGCUCGCAGACUGUGCGCUACGCUGUGUGCAGAGAUGCGCCCAUAGCUCUGGGGAAACAAUAUGGCACUGGCAGGUUGAAGGCAGAAAGCACAUCUGAAGCCGGAAGAAAUGCUGUCUGAACAAUUUGUUCAUCCAUUCAUUAAAAAAUGUAUCGAUCAUCUAUUA